CCUACGGGAGGCAGCAGUGAGGAAUAUUGGUCAAUGGACGAGAGUCUGAACCAGCCAAGUAGCGUGAAGGAUGACUGCCCUAUGGGUUGUAAACUUCUUUUAUAUGGGAAUAAAAUGUUCCACGUGUGGGAUUUUGUAUGUACUAUAUGAAUAAGGAUCGGCUAACUCCGUGCCAGCAGCCGCGGUAAUACGGAGGAUCCGAGCGUUAUCCGGAUUUAUUGGGUUUAAAGGGAGCGUAGGUGGAUUGUUAAGUCAGUUGUGAAAGUUUGCGGCUCAACCGUAAAAUUGCAGUUGAUACUGGCAGUCUUGAGUACAGUAGAGGUAGGCGGAAUUCGUGGUGUAGCGGUGAAAUGCUUAGAUAUCACGAAGAACUCCGAUUGCGAAGGCAGUUCACUAGACUGCAACUGACACUGAGGCUCGAAAGUGUGGGUAUCAAACAGGAUUAGAUACCCCAGUAGUC
rnacentral:rRNA from 1 species